AUACAUACAUAUAUAUACAUACAUACAUAUAUAUAUACAUAUAUAUAUAUAUGUAUAUAUAUAUAUAUAUACACAGUCUUCAACUGUUUUCAUGGUUUCAGUUACAAGACUGUGGCCAUGCUGGGGCAUCGCUGUCAAGGAUUCACAGAUUUCAUCGAUUGCCACUUAUUUUACUGACCUCAGAACAAUCAAACAGGUCAUAAUCCAAAACAUAAAAAACACAAACAUAACAUAAGGGUUUUCCUUUUUCUUUCCUCUUCAGGUGUGUUUUUGCUGUGUCCUGCACUCUACCAAGUCUGCUGUCCACUGACUACAAUGGCAGUUUAUAAUUUGUUCCUCAACGCUUCCACCAUCACUACCAUCACCACUGUUCUCUUACUUACUUCCAUCUAUACUCCCCCCCCCAAUCUUGUACCUCAAAAGAUCACACACACACACACACACACACAUACUCAUGCCUCUUGACACCUCACACCCAAGCUCAGUGGGAUGAAGUGGGAAGAGAGAGAAAGAAAGAGAGAGAGAGUAGCAAAGGUAUGUCCAGCUCAUCUACACUUGACAC